rnacentral:misc_RNA from 1 species
GGCAGCGAAGCUGCCAAUUCUAGUAAAAUUCAAUAAAGUAAUCACAAACUUGCAGCUAUUUUGGCCUUUCUGAGCUAGAAACUUGAGAUAUCACUCAUUUGCAGAAAUGAUAUGGAACAUUGGAAACCCUUUCAGAAUCAGUUGAAUAAAUUAUGUGUGACUUUAUUUGGACAUGAGGGUAAUGAGAAAAACAAAGAAUGAUAUGGAUUCAGAAGGAGCAAGGGAGCUAAGGAGGAAUGGGCCUGGAAAAGGACAGUUGAAAGUCUACACCAGAAAGAAGAUGAAUGAAUUCGGGAAGAGUGGGACCUAUGUAAGCUUCUGGAAGUUGAUAGAAGAUUCAAAAAGGGAAGAAGAGCUGGGGCUGGCUGGCAGUAAUAGUUUUACAGAAUGAGCAGAGAAGAAAUCUAUAUAUAGCACUAAAAUAGUAGAAUAGUUGCAUGACUUGUAUUGCCUUGUAUUUUGG